CGGGGGUAAAGAAAUCUCAGUGAUUUCAGUCGAUUAAACCAGGCCUGCUGGGUCUGCUGCUUCUGGAUUUAUUUAUUUUUAUUUCUUUCUUUAUUUCUUUAUUUUACGUUUUUGUAAAUGAGCCUUCCAGGGUCCUCGAGUGCUUCCCACGGGGAGUGACAAUCACAAUCUGCUGCCUCGCCUCUCCACGGGAGCUCCAGAAAUCUUAACAUCCCAUCAAGAGCUAAUUACAUUCUGACACAGCCUGGAGAGCUGAGGAGAGAGCAGAGAAUGGCUCUGAAAUUACACGGAACACACGGAAUAUUUGGUGCCGUGAAGUGCCAAGAGCAGCAGAGAGAGACGGGAAAAGGGGAAUGGGAAGGAGCCGGAAUGGGAUUUGGACUGGAAACCCCUCCCAGGCCCUGGGUCCAGGCCCUGAUCCUGCACUUCACUGUUGCUUUCAAACACUGCAGCUCUUCCGAAGGGGAAAAGGACCCUGCCUGGGGGAGAUGGGCACAGCCCGGAGCUGCAGCUGAUGGAAACACCUGCAGAAGGAUCCAGGCAGACCUCAGACCCCUUCCAGCGUCUCUGAAACACUCCAGGAGCUGCAGAGGGAUUUUGGAAAAGGGCCUGGAGGGACAGGACAAGGGGGACUGGGCUGGGGGGCUGCAGUGUCGUGUCCCCCCAUCCUGAAGGAGCUGCUCUUUCCCAAAUCCCACUGACCAGCUGCCUCCAUGCCAACAAAACUCUUUUUUAAGAUUAUUGGCUCUGCUCAGGAGCGUGGCAGGAGGGUUGUGGCUGACCAGGCAGCAAAUUAACUGGAAUUUCAUGAUGCAAUCACUUAUAGGAUGCCUAUGUAUUUUAGUGAGACACUUUCUGAACAGGAGAUGCUCUCUGUCCACACUGCUGGGCUCCCAGGGGCCUCACAGGACAUUUCCCUUUUUAGUGACCUUCACAGGAGAGAAAAGAGUGAUCUUCAUUUCCCUCGGAUUUUAUUGUGCAUUUUGUUCCCUUCUGCUUUGCAGUGAUUUAUUCCUCUGGAUUUAAAG
rnacentral:lncRNA from 1 species